UUAUCAACUUACUUUUGAUUUAUCAUUAUAUUUAAGGUUUAGAAUUUAUCACUUUAACUCUGAUUGAUGUAGGUUGUUUGUACUAUUUUUUUGAAUUUGUUUUUGAACUCAGCAAGCGAUUUACUAAUUUUCAGGUCCGUUUCGAAAUUAUUCCACAGAUUAACACCUUUGACAGAUACACUUCUUUGCUUGAUGUUUGUCCUUGUUUUGAGUUUUUUGAAUAAGUUGGUACCUCUUAAAUCAGCGCUGCUUUCUCGAAUUUCGAAAAACUUCAGAAUGUUUUGGCAGAGCAGGUUAUUGUGUGCUUUGUACAUUAAUUGGGCGAUUUUAAAGUCACCCAG